rnacentral:ribozyme from 1 species
GAGGAAGAAGAAAAAAGACAAGAAUGUGAAACGAAAAACUGUUUGUUGAUUGUUUUGUGUUGUUAGCUAUUAAAUCUCUACUUCCAAUUA